GCGAAUGGUUAGUAAUGUGACCAGGAAAGUAUAAAAUAGUUGUUGCAUUGACAUGGUAGGAUUGGCAUGUUCCUGAAGUUGUGCUCGAUGUUUAGCCAACCCUGGUUCUUGAUGUGCAGCCUUUUAACUUCUGUGCUCGACGUGCAGUUUUUAUCCUUUUGUAUAGGCUGAUUUAUUAAGAGGUUUUACACACUGUCAGGAAAGUGGGGCAGGCAAACAUUUAUUGCUGCAGUACCUUCAAUGGGCUGAUGGCUGUGUUGGAAUGCUGAAUAUCCGUGUGUAGUGGCUUUGUAUAGGGCCGGGCCUGCAUCGGCACUUAACCUCCCCGGGUGUAGGUGAUUUGGGUGGAGUGGCACUGCUGUGUGGUGUGUAUUACCUAGAUGGUUGACACUGAAAUGGUGUUUUGAAGGUUACUCUUUGUUUGCGGUGUAUGCUGUGGGUCUUCUCUUUUCUUCUGUCCCUUACAGGUGAUCGGCGGUGCAUAAGAGCAGGCCCGACCCUCCUUGCCAUUGAGGAGAGCUAUUUUCUACUGUUGUGGAUUUUAUUAUUGAUGCAUGUUUUUUUUUUUUUGAUUGUUUUUAAUGUUUUGCUUAGGAAUAAAAUUGUGAUAUUCAACCAACUACGUUUACGGUUUAAAAAAAAAUUAAUACUUGAUUUGUGGAGGGCUCCUCCUGCCCUAAAUAAGGAGGAGGCGUAGUCAGUUUAUAGUUUCUUACACUACAUUGAGAUGCACCUGUAUGUGUUUCUGGGUGCUCCUCAAACAGCUGCAUCCUACCGAGGCUGCGUCCUUCCUAGUUCAGUCCUUCAGAGUCUUGUAGGAUAGAGUCCUCCUUAGCAUUAAACGCUAGGAGACAGGGCUGUCCAAACUCAGUCCUGGAGGAGCCGGUGUCCUGAACAGUUUAGUUCCAACCCCGAUUAAACACCUGAACCAGCUAAUCAAGCUCCUACUACUAGGCAUACUAUU
ensembl:lncRNA